GAUGAACGCUGACAGAAUGCUUAACACAUGCAAGUCGAUGGGGAAGUGGUGCUUGCACCAUGGUAACCAUGGCGGACGGGUGAGUAACGCGUAAGGAACUUGCCUGCGGGACUGGGAUAACAGCAGGAAACUGCUGAUAAUACCGGAUAAGGUCAUUAAGCUGCAUAGCUUAGUGAUGAAAGGAGACGCCUGCGGAGAGCCUUGCGUCCUAUUAGCUAGUUGGAGGGGUAACGGCCCACCAAGGCGAAGAUAGGUAGCCGGCCUGAGAGGGUGGACGGCCACAAGGGGACUGAGAUACGGCCCUUACUCCUACGGGAGGCAGCAGUGGGGAAUAUUGGACAAUGGGGGCAACCCUGAUCCAGCAAUUCUGUGUGAACGAAGACGGUUUUCGGAUUGUAAAGUGCUUUCAGCAGGGAAGAAGGAAGUGACGGUACCUGCAGAAGAAGCGACGGCUAAAUACGUG
rnacentral:rRNA from 1 species